UGGGGAAUUUUGGACAAUGGGGGAAACCCUGAUCCAGCCAUCCCGCGUGUGCGAUGAAGGCCUUCGGGUUGUAAAGCACUUUUGGCAGGAAAGAAACGUCAUGGGUUAAUACCCCGUGAAACUGACGGUACCUGCAGAAUAAGCACCGGCUAACUACGUGCCAGCAGCCGCGGUAAUACGUAGGGUGCAAGCGUUAAUCGGAAUUACUGGGCGUAAAGCGUGCGCAGGCGGUUCGGAAAGAAAGAUGUGAAAUCCCAGAGCUCAACUUUGGAACUGCAUUUUUAACUACCGGGCUAGAGUGUGUCAGAGGGAGGUGGAAUUCCGCGUGUAGAAGUGAAAUGCGUAGAUAUGCGGAGGAACACCGAUGGCGAAGGCAGCCUCCUGGGAUAACACUGACGCUCAUGCACGAAAGCGUGGGGAGCAAACAGG
rnacentral:rRNA from 1 species